UUGGCAGAAUAGUGUAAUGAAUUUAGAAUUCAUAAAUGUAAUUUUUUUA
rnacentral:tRNA from 1 species